rnacentral:rRNA from 1 species
GACGAACGCUGGCGGCGUGCUUAACACAUGCAAGUCGAACGGUGAAGCUCCAGCUUGCUGGAGUGGAUCAGUGGCGAACGGGUGAGUAACACGUGAGCAACCUGCCCCAGACUCUGGAAUAAGCGCUGGAAACGGCGUCUAAUACUGGAUACGAGAUCAAGCCGCAUGGUUAUGGUCUGGAAAGUUUUUCGGUUUGGGAUGGGCUCGCGGCCUAUCAGCUUGUUGGUGAGGUAAUGGCUCACCAAGGCGACGACGGGUAGCCGGCCCGAGAGGGCGACCGGCCACACUGGGACUGAGACACGGCCCAGACUCCUACGGGAGGCAGCAGUGGGGAAUAUUGCACAAUGGGCGAAAGCCUGAUGCAGCGACGCCGCGUGAGGGAUGACGGCCUUCGGGUUGUAAACCUCUUUCAGCAGGGAAGAAGCGAAAGUGACGGUACCUGCAGAAGAAGCACCGGCUAACUACGUG